AUACGGAGGGGGUUAGCGUUGUUCGGAAUUACUGGGCGUAAAGCGCACGUAGGCGGAUCAGAAAGUAUAGGGUGAAAUCCCAGGGCUCAACCCUGGAACUGCCUUAUAAACUCCUGGUCUUGAGUUCGAGAGAGGUGAGUGGAAUUCCGAGUGUAGAGGUGAAAUUCGUAGAUAUUCGGAGGAACACCAGUGGCGAAGGCGGCUCACUGGCUCGAUACUGACGCUGAGGUGCGAAAGUGUGGGGAGCAAACAGGAUUAGAUACCCUGGUAGUCCACACCGUAAACGAUGAAUGCCAGACGUCAGCAAGCAUGCUUGUUGGUGUCACACCUAACGGAUUAAGCAUUCCGCCUGGG
rnacentral:rRNA from 2 species